GUGACACGCGGUGAUCAAUGCAGCAGGCGUGAUGAGAAGGCCCCAUGGCCGUCACAGGCCGCGGGAGCCUACGGGACCCAUGGGUUCUCGAUUCUGAACUUCGAAAUCACAUUCAACACUGCCCUUGUGCCUGUAAUCAUAUGGGCUACGGAAAUUAUUUAGACUAUCAGAUACCACCAAUUCCUCACGAAUUUCCGGAGGAAACGUCGUUCAAUGUAGUGCCUCAAUAUUACGAUAGUUCCGGUUAUCACUAUCACGAGUACCAAGAUUCGUCAUUUGACUCGUGCAGUUGCAGUACGGAUAGUACGACAUCGAGCAGAACCUCAUUCCGGAAUCCAUGGUGUAUAUGCCUGGUGGUUUGCGUAAUCGUAGCAGCUUUGGGUAUAGGUUUAGGACUUCCGCUCGCGUUGCAUCCGGACCUGCCAAUGCACACACCAGAAGAGCGUCUAAUGGCCGUUCGUCGGUUACUUCGGGAAACUCCGCUGAUCGACGGACAUAACGAUUUGGCUUGGAAUAUACGGAAGUUUGUGCACAAUAAAUUGAUCGGCUUUAAUCUGAGCGAUAUUUCGAGGAAGGAGCCGUGGAUGAGAAGUCGGUGGUCACAGACCGACAUACCCAGACUGAAGGAAGGGCAGUUGGGUGCACAAUUUUGGUCCGCUUACGUGCCUUGUGGGGCGCAACAUUUAGACGCAGUGCAACUCACGCUGGAGCAAAUUGAUGCGAUUCGUCGACUCGUGGACUCAAAUCCAAAGUACUUUGCGUUCGUGAAGAGCGCCAACGAAAUUUUGGAGGUGCACAAAGAGGGACGGAUAGCGUCACUGAUCGGCGUGGAAGGUGGACAUUCCAUCGGAAACUCGCUGGCUGUCUUGCGGAUGUUCUACAAUUUAGGUGCGCGGUAUUUGACGAUUACCCACACGUGCGAUACGUCAUGGGCUUACGGGUCUAAUUCGCAAGGUACUGGGGGAUUAACGCCCUUCGGCUACAGUGUGAUUAAAGAAAUGAACCGAUUGGGUAUGAUGAUUGAUCUGUCGCACACCUCGGUCAACACUGCAAAAGCGGCCCUGAACGCCUCACAGGCGCCUGUAAUAUUUUCACACUCAAGCGCGUAUUCCUUGUGCAAUUCAAGUCGGAAUGUACCAGAUGACAUACUUAAAUUGGUGGCCCACAACGGCGGAGUUGUCAUGAUUAAUUUCUACACGUACCUCAUCACCUGCAAUGAAACCGCCACCAUAAAGGACGUCAUCAGACACAUUAACCAUAUUCGAACCGUUGCGGGUAUAAAUCACGUAGGCAUCGGUGCAGGAUACGAUGGCAUCAAUAUGACACCGAGUGGACUCGAGGACGUCUCGGGAUAUCCCAGACUGUUAGCCGAGCUUCUGGCAGAUCCCAACUGGUCAUUGAGCGACAUCAAAUUACUAGCAGGGAAAAAUAUACUUCGCGUACUUGCCAAAGUAGAAGCCAUUCGAGAUCAGUGGCAGUUAGCUGCCAUCGUUCCAUUUGAGGAGACUCUCCCGCCCCAAGACUCGCGAUGCGCUUACAAAUUUUCCUGACCGCUUAACAAUCUUACCAUAUCAAUAUUCUGGAAGAUUACGAUCUUGACGUGGAACCAAAUGAAAAACCACGCUUAGAUCUGUGGACGCAAUGAAUUUCUGUGUGGUGGUGCUCAGAGUGAUUAGAACAUUUAAAAAAUAUCCAAAAAAGACAUUCAAAAUCAAAAAAGGCUUUAACGAAUUGUGUUCAGGAACUCUUACAUAUGGAAGUAUAAUUUUCGUAUUAUUGUUCACUCAGCCGCGAACGCUGUAAUAAAAGUGUAAAUGGAACUUUAAGCUAGACAAAGAAAAUUAGAAGUAAUAACGCACAACAUAGAAUAAACUUUGUUAUAAUAUCGAAAGAAUUUUAGGAGCACAAUAAUUAGGUAAAGCUUCCAUUCCGCUUAAAUAGCAAAUUCUAGAUAUCAAAAGUAACUAAAACCAAAAUUAAAAUUGCAAAGUCUAUAUUUGUAACCUUUAAGUUCGUAUGAGUAUAUUUUUCUAUACUAAAUACAUGUUACAGAAACAAUAAAUAUAUUUAGCUAUAUGAAGUUCAUGUUUAAACUGAUUUGGGUGGCAUUGUGUAGUUAUCUAAGUUAGUUUCUGUAUGUUUCACCCUGUAUAGAUAAAGAGUAAGAAAUUCUGAAACAGUUAUAGGUUUAAAAAAAUAUAUAUAUAUUUGGUCGUAAAUAUUUUAUAAAGAGUUUUUACACAAAGGUUGAACUUCGUUGCACUUUUUAAAAAUGUGGACAAUUAUAGAAAAUACGUUAGAAAUGUUUAUAAUACUUAUAUGGCUAAUUUACUUUUAUAUUUUGCAUAUAUUUACAUGUAAGGAGGACCUUACCGCUACGCAUUACUUUGUAUAAGGCGCAUUUAUAUAUAGAUCAAUCAAAA